AAAGCUCAGUGGGUAGAGCAUGAGAUGCUUCAUCUCUGGGUCGUGGGUUCGAGCCCCACAUGGUGUG